ensembl:miRNA
CCAAAGUUUACAAGUAGGAUUUCAGUAUUAAUUGUUUUUACUGUUCAUGUAGCUUAAUAAAGCAAAAUACUGAAAAUGCUUAGAUGGAUUUUUAAUCCCAUAGACAUAAA